GGGAAAGUUAGUGGCAAACGGGUGAGUAACGCGUAGGCAACCUGCCCUUNAGAUGGGGACAACACUUCGAAAGAGGUUGCUAAUACCGAAUGACGUAUCCAUUCCGCAUGGAGAGGAUACCAAAGGCCGGGCAACCGGUCACUGAAGGAUGGGCCUGCGUCUGAUUAGCUAGUUGGUGGGGUAACGGCCCACCAAGGCGACGAUCAGUAGCCGGUCUGAGAGGUUGAACGGCCACAUUGGGACUGAGACACGGCCCAGACUCCUACGGGAGGCAGCAGUGGGGAAUAUUGCACAAUGGGCGCAAGCCUGAUGCAGCAACGCCGCGUGGAGGAAGACGGUUUUCGGAUUGUAAACUCCUGUUCUUAGUGAAGAAUAAUGACGGUAGCUAAGGAGCAAGCCACGGCUAACUACGUG
rnacentral:rRNA from 1 species